AUUGAACGCUGGCGGCAGGCCUAACACAUGCAAGUCGAGCGAGCGGCGGACGGGUGAGUAAUGUCUGGGAAACUGCCUGAUGGAGGGGGAUAACUACUGGAAAAGGUAGCUAAUACCGCAUACCAUCAGAUCUGCCCAGAGGGGAUUAGCUAGUAGGUGGGGUAACGGCUCACAUAGGCGACGAUCCCUAGCAGGUCUGAGAGGAUGACCAGCCAAACUGGAACUGAGACACGGUCCAGACUCCUACGGGAGGCAGCAGUGGGGAAUAUUACACAAUGGGCGCAAGCCGGAUGCAGCCAUGCCGCGUGAGUGAAGAAGGCCUUAGGGUUGUAAAGCACUUUCAGCGGGGAAGCGUUACCCGCAGAGGAAGCACCGGCUAACUCCGUGCCAGCAGCCGCGGUAAUAC
rnacentral:rRNA from 1 species